CGCGGCCUAUCAGCUUGUUGGUGGGGUAAUGGCCUACCAAGGCGACGACGGGUAGCCGGCCUGAGAGGGUGAUCGGCCACACUGGGACUGAGACACGGCCCAGACUCCUACGGGAGGCAGCAGUGGGGAAUAUUGCACAAUGGGCGAAAGCCUGAUGCAGCGACGCCGCGUGGGGGAUGACGGUCUUCGGAUUGUAAACCCCUUUCAGUAGGGACGAAGCGCAAGUGACGGUACCUGCAGAAGAAGCACCGGCCAACUACGUGCCAGCAGCCGCGGUAAUACGUAGGGUGCGAGCGUUGUCCGGAAUUACUGGGCGUAAAGAGCUCGUAGGCGGUUUGUCACGUCGUCCGUGAAAAUCCGGGGCUCAACUCCGGACUUGCGGGCGAUACGGGCAGACUUGAGUACUACAGGGGAGACUGGAAUUCCUGGUGUAGCGGUGAAAUGCGCAGAUAUCAGGAGGAACACCGGUGGCGAAGGCGGGUCUCUGGGUAGUAACUGACGCUGAGGAGCGAAAGCAUGGGGAGCAAACAGGAUUAGAUACCCUGGUAGUCCAUGCCGUAAACGGUGGGCGCUAGGUGUGGGGUCCUUCCACGGAUUCCGUGCCGUAGCUAACGCAUUAAGCGCCCCGCCUGGGGAGUACGGA
rnacentral:rRNA from 1 species